ensembl:lncRNA
GGAUCCCUCCUCCAACCAAAUCUCGCUUUGGGUCCCCAAAAAGCUAGAGCUGGCCCUUUGUGUGUGUCUGUCCGCCAGCCUGUCUUUCUUGGAGUUCCAGAUGUGGCUGGAGGAAUAGUGGUGGCCGCUGGAUGGCAACUUUAAUACUGGAGAGCAUGUAGGAGCUCAUGGUCAUGACAUGAAUCUAUACAGUUAAUACAAGUAUCCUAUAUUAGAUACUACUACAAUGAUAGCUAGCUAGUACAUGUACAUAUGGAUUUACAGUACUAAUAAUAUUUUAUUAAUAUACAGGGUCCACUUUGACCCAAGACAACAAUCCAGACUAAGCAUUUGCAAAAGGAGCGGUGAGCACCUAUCAGAUCCCUCUGCUCUCCUUCACCUCUUGGGGCAGCCUUUGGGGCAACCAUUGCUGAGGCCAGGAAGAAGUCUGCCAGUCUAUCACGUUCACUGUCUUCAAACUCCCUGUUAUAGAUGAGCCAAGGCACAGCGUGCAUGUAAUUCCACAUCUUUAAUAAAGUGAAACCUUCACGAAAAAACAGGACCUGAGCCCUAGGACCAUGCCUCAGGAUUACCUGACAU